rnacentral:tRNA from 1 species
UAUAUACAAGUGUUCAAUGCACAAAAAUUUUUGAAAUUUUUAGUAAUAAUAAUUAAUAUUAUUGUAUAUAA